rnacentral:rRNA from 1 species
UACGGGGGGGGCAAGCGUUGUUCGGAAUUACUGGGCGUAAAGGGCUCGUAGGCGGCCAACUAAGUCAGACGUGAAAUCCCUCGGCUUAACCGAGGAACUGCCUGUCAAACUGCAUGGCUUGAGACCAGGAGAGGUGAGUGGAAUUCCCAGUGUAGCGGUGAAAUGCGUAGAUAUUGGGAGGAACACCAGUGGCGAAGGCGGCUCACUGGACUGGUACUGACGCUGAUGCGCGAAAGCGUGGGGAGCAAACAGG